rnacentral:rRNA from 1 species
GAGUUUGAUCAUGGCUCAGGAUGAACGCUGGCGGCGUGCUUAACACAUGCAAGUCGAACGGGCGAAUUAUAUCGGAGGUCUUCGGGCCGAAGAGAUAAUAAGCUAGUGGCGGACGGGUGCGUAACGUGUGGGUAAUCUGCCUUUGUCAUAGGAAUAACUGCUUGAAAAAGUAGCUAAUACCAAAUAACAUAUCGUAUAGGCAUCUAUAAGAUAUCAAAGAGAAAUCGGACAAAGAUGAGCCCGCAUCUGAUUAGCUGGUUGGUAGGGUAAAAGCCUACCAAGGCGACGAUCAGUAGCCGGCCUGAGAGGGUGAACGGCCACAUUGGAACUGAGACACGGUCCAAACUCCUACGGGAGGCAGCAGUGGGGAAUAUUGCACAAUGGGGGGAACCCUGAUGCAGCAACGCCGCGUGAGUGAAGAAGGCUUUCGAGUCGUAAAACUCUGUUGUAAGGGAAGAUAAUGANCGUNCCUAAAGAGCCG